CCAGGCAUGUACCUAAAUAAGACACACCCACUUCACAGUAAACAAAGGGGUGUCCACCAAUCUGCUGAUAAUGGAGGUAAGGGGACGCCCCCGUUUACAGCCGACUAAACAACCCCCCGACCCUGCGGCCCAGCUGAGCUGACGCUGUCUCAUGCCCUGCAGCUGAGAGUUGUGCUGGCUUCUUUUGAGAUGGCCCGUGCAGAGACCAUUGAAAGUGUUGGGGAAACUGGGAUUGGAACACAUGGUCUCUUUUCUCAGCACAACACCUGCUGCAUGGAGCUGACUCGUCCUCUCCAAAGCUGGCCUGGACUGCUCAGCACUGCUACCAUCACCAUUAGCCCUGGGAAUGCCAGCACCCCCGUGCACCGCCAUCAUAACGACCACAGCCUCCAGCCUUUGCAGGCGAUCAGUGGGUCAUAUCAUUCAUCUUACCUCCACCCCGAGGGCCAGGCUCAGCCCCAGCCUCACCACCAGUUACCUACUUUAUCUUCGGCAACUCAUCCUUUGCCACUUCAAAAUCAGGGAGGAGAAUUUGACGAAGGCUUUCCAGGACAGCAGUCAGGCUUGGACCAGAGGACACAACAGGAGCGCAGCCACCGACGAGGACCUCUGCCCGACCUGCUGCCACAGACGGAGCACCUGUCCAGGCUUUCAUCCCCUCCCAGAGGCCCCGACGACGGCACGUUACAGCUGAGGGUCAGGAGGGUGGCCAUCCAACUGAGGACCAUCGGGGACGAAUUCAACGCCACGCUUCUCCACAGAGCGGAUGCUCCCUAUUGGCAGGACUGGCGAGAUGCCUGCAGAGUUUUACUGAAUUUCAUCACCCAGACUCUCAGCACGCUCUACCGGCUGACAUAAGCACCCAAGCGUUUGGCAUGUGGGGCCACUGGCUGCUGGAACGUUGCAAAAAAACACUGGGGAGGAUUAACCAAUUUGGAAAUCAAACAUUUUCUAUAGUCUGUGAGACUACCCAUUAGUCAGUCUGCUGGCUCAGACUGCUGUUGAGAGAGGAAAUCCCCCUUUUUUCCCCCUGUGUAUUCAGUUAAAUUUACACGUUUCUGGAUUAAAUCUGUUGGUGUACUGUAGGGGAAUGACUGUAAUUUUACAUUUCAGACCUGUUUAAUUUUACAUUUCAGACUUGUCCUGAUAAUCCAAGCUACAAAGUACGACACUUCGAUGUCUCUCCCUUGUCUUUGAAACUGUGAAAGUGGAUCCUGAGUGGGGACAGGUCAGGUGCUAUUCCACCAACGGGCACAAAGUGAACCUGCCUCCCAACCUGAAACUGCUUCAGUGCAUCAUAUAAUGUGCCUUCCUGCUCAGCACCCUUUGUAGGCCCAGUUUUACUUUCUGUCAAUCGGUCAGACACACAGAUCCAGAGGCGGCCCCUAAAGUAAAGGUUAUUAGAUACAUAUCCUGCCUGCAUUCCUCUGCAGCAGCCCUGCAGUCAGUGCUGGGACCUGCCAGGCUGAUUCCAGGUUCUAAACAGUGUUCAUAGUUUCUUGAUCAUUUGUAAAUAUUUUUUUGGAAGAUGAAACUAUCUCUCGUGUUUUCAAGAAAUUUUAAAGUACCUUUCAAGCUGUGAGUUCGCUGUCUUUGGGAGACCUUGUUUUAAGGGGGAAAAAAAAAUUAAAUACAUUUCUGAGCAGAGUUUGAAUUUAAAUCCAGUGGAUUUGAGUUAGGAAAAAAUCUAUGAUUGAAUUUUUUUUGACUGAAAUGAAAAGAAAGAAAAGUUAAAAUCUCCCUCUUGGUUGUGCGACUGCAUUCAUUUUUGCCUUGGUGAGAAUGUUGACAGCUCAUAUUAAGAGCAUAAUUUAUUUUAAAAUGUAGCCUUACUGUAGCAUUUUUAUGUUCACUGUUAUUUAUUUUGUUUUUACAUUCCUCAAGAGUAUGAAUUAAGUGCUUGUGUUAAACUGAGAUUUACAAUACAAUGUUUUCAAGAAUUUUAAAAAGAUUAUUAUCAUUACUGAAAUUCCAAAUUUAGAAAACCAAAAUGUCCUCAUUGGCAUUCUAAUUUCCAACAGUACAGAUGGUAAAACGUGGUAUAGACGCUCAGUUUCUUUCAGGAAGUGUUAAAAAUGUGAUUCCCAUCAGAUUCCAAAUCACUCAAAACGGGGUUCUAAUUAACCAUCGAAUGUUUUCUGUGCUUUUUACUUGCUUGGCCUUGAAUUGUUGAUGUCCUUCUGUUGUCAGCUGAAAGUCCUGGAUACCAAUUUCAAUUGGUGGCUGAGCCAGAUGCUGAGCUAAGACCACUCUGGUAUUUUUAGUUUUCGGUUAGUUUGUCAUCUCAUUUGCUGUUAUCGCAUUUAUGCUGACCGUUUUUUGAUGCCUUGUAAAUGCUUACAGUUGUGUUCUCUUCCAUUUUUUAAUCUAAGAGGUCUGAGGUUUUCCUUCCUACAAUGAUGCAGUGUCAUCACACACAGUGUGUUUGGCUUUUUUUCCCCCACCAUUUUUGUACACUUUUUUUUUUUUUUUACAAAAUUUUGUAAGUCUCUUCAGUUUUUAUACAAUAAAGUUAAAAGAGAAAUCUACCCAUGUGUUUGGUGUUUAAUCCCAAAUAAACAGGACAAGAAAUUACCAUUCUUGUACGCCAGCGAGAUUCUCUGAGAAGAAUACGUGUUUCUUUUUAAACCUCAUCUUUCCUGCUACUGGUUGACACUGGAAACCUCUGUGGGUUGUGGCCACCCUGGCAGGACAGAAGAGGACAGCAGUAAUUAACUGGAAUGUGUUGCCAC
rnacentral:lncRNA from 1 species